rnacentral:misc_RNA from 1 species
GAUGAAGAACGCAGCGAAAUGCGAUAAGUAAUGUGAAUUGCAGAAUUCAGUGAAUCAUCGAAUCUUUGAACGCACAUUGCGCCUGCCAGCACUCUGGCAGGCAUGCCUGUUCGAGCGUCAUUUCAACCAUCAAGCCCUAGGCUUGCGUUGGGGCCCUGCGGCUGCCGCAGGCCCCUAAAAGCAGUGGCGGGCUCGCUAUCACACCGAGUGCAGUAGAUUACUCUUCGCUCAGGGCGUGUGGCGGGUUCCAGCCGUGAAACCCCCUACUUCUCAAGGUUGACCUCGGAUCAGGUAGGAAUACCCGCUGAACUUAAGCAUAUCAAUAAGCGGAGGA